ACAAUCCUACGGGGGGCAGCAGUGAGGAAUAUUGGUCAAUGGUCGGGAGACUGAACCAGCCAAGCCGCGUGAGGGAUGAAGAUACAGAGUAUCGUAAACCUCUUUUGUCAGGGAACAAAGGCGGGGACGCGUCCCCGGAUGAGUGUACCUGAAGAACAAGCAUCGGCUAACUCCGUGCCAGCAGCCGCGGUAAUACGGAGGAUGCGAGCGUUAUCCGGAUUUAUUGGGUUUAAAGGGUGCGUAGGCGGGUUAUCAAGUCAGCGGUAAAAUCGUGGAGCUCAACUCCAUCCAGCCGUUG
rnacentral:rRNA from 1 species